rnacentral:rRNA from 1 species
AUGCUGGUUCCGCUCAAGGAUAAGCCCACCUCUGAAAUAGCGUUCCUGCUGGAGCCACCGACACCGUCACCGUCACCAGCACCGUCCGAUCUGGCGUCAGUCCCGCCGGCGAGUUCCACUGAAUCAAGGAGUGGUCCUAGGUGGCGGGUCAUCGUCGGCGUUGCUGCUGGAUGCAGUGUUCUUACUUUGGGUUCCGUGCAUGCUCUCUUCUUGCUAUGCCGUUGGUGUCGGCGGCACGGCGACCGUGGUGACCGAAGCAAGGCCACCCUACCGGCAGUGGAGCAUGCUGUGUCAGACGGGCCGGCGAAGGGAGCUUUGACGAGGGUGGCGUCCUUGAUGUGGCCGAUGGUGGUGCGCGAGGCAGUGGGGUCGCUGACCGUGUACGACUACGGGGAUCUAGAGAGGGCGACAUCGGGUUUCUCGGAGGAGCAGUGUAUUGGAAACUCGUCGGUCUACCGCGCGGUGAUCAACGGCAGCGCUGUGGCCGUGAAGCGAGUGCCCGGCGACGUGGGCACUGAGGUGACCCUCCUGGGGCGCGUCAACCACUCGAGCCUCAUCCGCAUGUCCGGCCUGUGCAUGCACGGCGGCUACACCUACAUGGCGUUCGAGUUCGCCGAGAACGGCGCGCUCAGCGACUGGCUCCACAGCGGAGAGGAGGAGGAGGGCCGCGUGCUCGGGUGGAGCCAGCGUGUGCAGGUCGCGCUCGACGUGGCAGGCGGGCUCAACUACCUGCACAACUACACCGACCCUCCCUACGUGCAUAAGAAUCUCAAGGGCAGCAACAUCCUCCUCGACGCAUGCUUCCGCGCCAAGCUCUCAAACUUCGGCCUCGCGCUCGCGAUCACCGCGGACGACGACCGCGGCGGCCUGUGGAUGACCCGGCACGUGGUCGGCACGCAGGGUUAUCUGGCGCCCGAGUACCUCGAGCACGGGCUGAUCGGCUCCCAGCUCGACGUGUUCGCGUUCGGCGUCCUCGUGCUUCAGCUCUUGUCCGGGAAGGAGGCGGCUAGACAAGACGACGACGAGAACGGGAAGGUGGUAUUGCUUUGGGAGGAAGCGGAACGGUUGGGCCUGGGCGGCGGCGCCGGCGACCUGCUGGACAAGGUGACGGCGUUCGUCGACGGCCGGCUGCAUGGGCGGUACCCGUUGGACGUGGUGUUCGCCAUGCUCGCGUUGGCAUUGAGGUGCGUGGCCCGGGAGCCCCGGACGCGACCGUCCAUGGCCGAGGUGCUCCUUUCGCUCUCGGGGAUGUACAAUUGGACAAUAAAUUGGGACCCUCGGUGCCCUGACCCUGAGGGCACCGGAACUCCUCGCGAACAAUAG